rnacentral:rRNA from 1 species
CUUUGGGUACUUUCAGGACCCGUCUUGAAACACGGACCAAGGAGUCUAGCAUGUGCGCGAGUCAUUGGGACUAGCGAAACCUAAAGGCGCAAUGAAAUUGAAGGCUCGCCUCGCGCGUGCCGAGGGAGGAUGGGCGGCCCCAAGAGGUCGCCCUGCACUCCCGGGGCGUCUCGUUCUCGCAGAGAAGAGGCGCACCCAGAGCGUACACGCUGGGACCCGAAA